rnacentral:rRNA from 1 species
ACGGGAGGCAGCAGUGGGGAAUAUUGGGCAAUGGAGGGAACUCUGACCCAGCAACGCCGCGUGAAGGAAGAAGGUCUUCGGAUUGUAAACUUCUUUUAUGUGGGACGAACAAAUGACGGUACCACAUGAAUAAGCCACGGCUAACUACGUGCCAGCAGCCGCGGUAAUACGUAGGUGGCAAGCGUUAUCCGGGUUUACUGGGUGUAAAGGGCGCGUAGGCGGGGAAGCAAGUCAGAUGUGAGAUCCAUGGGCUCAACCCAUGAACUGCAUUUGAAACUGUUUCUCUUGAGUGCUGGAGAGGUAGAUGGAGUUCCUAGUGUAGCGGUGAAAUGCGUAGAUAUUAGGAAGAACACCAGUGGCGAAGGCGAUCUACUGGACAGUAACUGACGCUGAGGCGCGAAAGCGUGGGGAGCAAACAGGAUUAGAUACCCUGGUA